rnacentral:rRNA from 1 species
CCCUUAGAUGUUCUGGGCUGCACGCGUGUUACAAUCGGGAGUACAACAAGAUUGCAAAUCCUAGUGGAUGAGUGGUUCUUCGAAAUUUUCUGAAGACUGGGAUAGUUGAUUGAAAUUAUUCAACUCAAACGAGGAAUUCCUUGUAAUUGUAAUUCAUUAUAUUGUAAUGAAUACGUCCCUGCCCUUUGUACACACCGCCCGUCGCUCCUACCGAUUGAACGAUCCGGUGAAUUAUUUGGAGUAGCUCUGGAAGUUGCAGAACUUCCUAUGUCACGAAAUUUUGUAAACCUUAUCGUUUAGAGGAAGGAAAAGUCAUAACA